rnacentral:rRNA from 1 species
UACGUAGGGUGCAAGCGUUAAUCAGAAUUACUGGGCGUAAAGCGUGCGCAGGCGGUUUCGUAAGUCUGUCGUGAAAUCCCCGGGCUUAACCUGGGAAUGGCGAUGGAGACUGCGAGGCUAGAGUUUGGCAGAGGGGGGUAGAAUUCCACGUGUAGCAGUGAAAUGCGUAGAGAUGUGGAGGAACACCGAUGGCGAAGGCAGCCCCCUGGGUCAAAACUGACGCUCAUGCACGAAAGCGUGGGGAGCAAACAGG